UACAGAGGGUGCAAGCGUUGUUCGGAAUCAUUGGGCGUAAAGGGCGUGUAGGCGGUUUGUUAAGUCAUGUGUGAAAUCCCUCGGCUCAACCGGGGAACGACGCAUGAAACUGGCAAGCUAGAGUACCAAAGAGGGGGGUGGAAUUCCCGGUGUAGCGGUGAAAUGUGUAGAGAUCGGGAGGAACACCUGCGGCGAAGGCGGGUUGCUGGGCUGACACUGACGCUGAGGCGCGAAAGCCAGGGGAGCGAACGGG
rnacentral:rRNA from 1 species